rnacentral:rRNA from 1 species
GUAGGUGGCAAGCGUUGUCCGGAAUUAUUGGGGCGUAAAGCGCGCGCAGGCGGUUCUUUAAGUCUGAUGUGAAAGCCCACGGGCUCAACCGUGGGAGGGGUCAUUGGAAACUGGAGAACUUGAGUACAGAAGAGGAAAGCGGAAUUCCACGUGUAGCGGUGAAAUGCGUAGAGAUGUGGAGGAGCACCAGUGGCGAAGGCGGCUUUCUGGUCUGUAACUGACGCUGAGGCGCGAGAGCGUGGGGAGCAAACAGAUUAGAUACCCUGGUAGUCCACGCCGUAAACGAUGAGUGCUAAGUGUUAGGGGGUUUCCGCCCCGUUAGUGCUGCAGCUAACGCAUUAAGCACUCCGCCUGUGGAGUACGGCCGCAAAGGCUG